GAUGAACGCUGGCGGCGUGCCUAAUACAUGCAAGUCGAGCGAACAGACGAGGAGCUUGCUCCUCUGACGUUAGCGGCGGACGGGUGAGUAACACGUGGAUAACCUACCUAUAAGACUGGGAUAACUUCGGGAAACCGGAGCUAAUACCGGAUAAUAUAUUGAACCGCAUGGUUCAAUAGUGAAAGACGGUUUUGCUGUCACUUAUAGAUGGAUCCGCGCCGCAUUAGCUAGUUGGUAAGGUAACGGCUUACCAAGGCAACGAUGCGUAGCCGACCUGAGAGGGUGGUCGGACGCCGUGGAGCUGAGACGCGGACCGUGCGACUGCGGGAGGGAGCAGGAGGGAAUGUGACGCAACGGUCGAAAACAUGACACAAUGGGGCCAAGCGAGAUAUAGAACUGCUGGGUGCGUAAAGCUGUGUUAUGGGUGGAAAACGCAUUUGGAAUGAGAUGUGGCGUGCGUGACGGUACCGGAUAAAGAAGAAACGGCUAACUACGUG
rnacentral:rRNA from 1 species